rnacentral:lncRNA from 1 species
UAUAAAAAAAUGUUUACAAAUAUCUUAACUUGCAACGUGUGACAGGCUACACAUCAGUGUUGUCCAUCUUUAAUCGAGAAAUGCAUUCAGAACAUUUUAUGAAGUAUUGGCAGGCUGUACCUGACGUCUUACUUUCUUGCAACGAAAUCAAAAGAACUACAAACCAAUUAAAUUAAUUUUUAUAGCAGCAUAUUCUUUGAAGAAUUUUAUUUACUAAUCAGAUUACUUGUAUUUCAUAAUUUCUUUAAAUUAUUUUUGGAGAUUUUUGGAUUUAAAUUUUGGUGUUAUACAAAAUUUUAAGUUUAAAAAAUUAUUUUACAUAUAGAUUCUUAGAUUUUUAAUAAUUAAUUUUUAUUCAGAAGUACAAUUAUAAUUGGAGUGUCCAGUUUUUGUAAUAUUUUUUCUGCAAAUAUCAAUUUGAUAUUA